GAUGAACGCUGGCGGCGUGCCUAAUACAUGCAAGUCGAGCGAACAGAUGAGAAGCUUGCUUCUCUGAUGUUAGCGGCGGACGGGUGAGUAACACGUGGGUAACCUACCUAUAAGACUGGGAUAACUCCGGGAAACCGGGGCUAAUACCGGAUAAUAUUUUGAACCGCAUGGUUCAAUAGUGAAAGACGGUUUCGGCUGUCACUUAUAGAUGGACCCGCGCCGUAUUAGCUAGUUGGUAAGGUAACGGCUUACCAAGGCGACGAUACGUAGCCGACCUGAGAGGGUGAGCGUCCACACUGGAACUGACACACGGUCCAGACUCCUACGGGAGGCAGCAGUAGGGAAUCUUCCGCAAUGGGCGAAAGCCUGACGGAGCAACGCCGCGUGAGUGAUGAAGGUCUUCGGAUCGUAAAACUCUGUUGUUAGGGAAGAACAAAUUUGUUAGUAACUGAACAAGUCUUGACGGUACCUAACCAGAAAGCCACGGCUAACUACGUGCCAGCCGCCGCAGUAA
rnacentral:rRNA from 1 species